UAGGAAGAAGUGUAAACGUGUGCACUUGACUUUUUGGUGGUCAGAGAGGCAAGAAAGCUUGCCCUUCCUAU
rnacentral:tRNA from 1 species